GUUUAGCCCCGAUUGCAACGGCACGAAGUAAAGUGGAAAGCGGGAACAAGG
rnacentral:sRNA from 1 species